rnacentral:rRNA from 1 species
AAAUUGACGGGGCCCGCACAAGCGGUGGAGCAUGUGGUUUAAUUCGAUGCAACGCGAAGAACCUUACCUACCCUUGACAUGUCCGGAACUUGCCAGAGAUGGCUUGGUGCCCGAAAGGGAAUCGGAACACAGGUGCUGCAUGGCUGUCGUCAGCUCGUGUCGUGAGAUGUUGGGUUAAGUCCCGCAACGAGCGCAACCCUUAUCAUUAGUUGCUACGCAAGGGCACUCUAAUGAGACUGCCGGUGACAAACCGGAGGAAGUGGGGAUGACGUCAAGUCCUCAUGGCCCUUAUGGGUAGGGCUUCACACGUCAUACAAUGGUCGGUACAGAGGGUUGCCAAGCCGCGAGGCGGAGCCAAUCCCACAAAGCCGAUCGUAGUCCGGAUUGUUCUCUGCAACUCGAGAGCAUGAAGUCGGAAUCGCUAGUAAUCGCAGGUCAGCAUACUGCGGUGAAUACGUUCCCGGGUCUU